CACCACUCAAGCUCAGCUUGGUAUUGGGCCCUCGUCCCCCGGGACGUGCCUCAAAAUCAGUGGCGGUGCCGCCUGACUUCAAGCGCAGUAAUUCAUAACCUCGCUUUGGAAGCUCGGGACGCGUGCCGGCCAUACAACCCCCAUCUUCAA
rnacentral:misc_RNA from 1 species